rnacentral:rRNA from 1 species
UACGGAGGGUGCAAGCGUUAUCCGGAUUCACUGGGUUUAAAGGGUGCGUAGGCGGGUUGGUAAGUCCGUGGUGAAAUCCCCAAGCUUAACCUGGGAACUGCCGUGGAUACUAUCAAUCUUGAAUAUCGUGGAGGUAAGCGGAAUAUGUCAUGUAGCGGUGAAAUGCUUAGAUAUGACAUAGAACACCAAUUGCGUAGGCAGCUUACUACACGAUCAUUGACGCUGAGGCACGAAAGCGUGGGGAGCAAACAGG